rnacentral:rRNA from 1 species
AGAGUUUGAUCAUGGCUCAGGAUGAACGCUAGCUACAGGCUUAACACAUGCAAGUCGAGGGGAACGACAUCGAAAGCUUGCUUUUGAUGGGCGCCGACCGGCGCACGGGUGAGUAACGCGUAUCCAACCUGCCCACCACUUGGGGAUAACCUUGCGAAAGUAAGACUAAUACCCAAUGACGUCUCUAGAAGACAUCUGAAAGAGAUUAAAGAUUUAUCGGUGAUGGAUGGGGAUGCGUCUGAUUAGCUUGUUGGCGGGGUAACGGCCACCAAGGGCGACGAUCAGUAGGGGUUCUGAGAGGAAGGUCCCCCACAUUGGAACUGAGACACGGUCAAACUCCUACGGGAGGCA